UAGACGCAUGUGGUCCACUCACAGUUUGCUUAGCACACAUCUGAGGUACUGGGCGAGUGGCAUUUUAGCCAAAAGAAAUGGUCUAUUCUACAGAAAUUCCUAUAACCAUUUAAAGUGGACAGUUAAAGCUAAUCUGAGACAGUCAGCCACAAAGAAUCAAGAUGGUAGUCGCAUGUGGUCCACUCACAGUUUGCUUAGCACACACUCUUGCUGAACAGUGAUUCAACUAAGGCAUAAUUUACCAAAUAAUGAAAUACAGGUCUAUUCUACAGAAAUUCCUCCCAUAACCAUUUAAAGUGGAGUUCUCAGUGGGAAAAAGCCAACAGCAAUCUUAAAUCUGAGAAACAGGCAGCCACAAGGAAUCAAUGUAGGCCGAUGGGAAGAACUGAGCAAGCGAAAAAAACAGGUAUGGAUUUCUAGGCGAGUAACAUCG